rnacentral:rRNA from 1 species
UACGGAGGGAGCUAGCGUUGUUCGGAAUUACUGGGCGUAAAGCGCACGUAGGCGGCUAUUCAAGUCGGGGGUGAAAGCCCGGGGCUCAACCCCGGAAUGUCUUUCGAAACUGCUGAGCUAGAGUGCAGAAGAGGCAACUGGAAUUCCCAGUGUAGCGGUGAAAUGCGUAGAGAUCGGGAGGAACACCAGUGGCGAAGGCGGCUACCUGGACCAGCACUGACACUGAGGCACGAAAGCGUGGGGAGCAAACAGG